UACGUAGGUGGCAAGCGUUGUCCGGAAUUAUUGGGCGUAAAGCGCGCGCAGGUGGUUUCUUAAGUCUGAUGUGAAAGCCCCCGGCUUAACCGGGGAGGGUCAUUGGAAACUGGGAGACUUGAGUGCAGAAGAGGAGAGCGGAAUUCCAUGUGUAGCGGUGAAAUGCGUAGAGAUAUGGAGGAACACCAGUGGCGAAGGCGGCUCUCUGGUCUGCAACUGACGCUGAGGCACGAAAGCGUGGGGAGCAAACAGG
rnacentral:rRNA from 1 species